CGUCUGCUCAGUAGUUGGUGUAGGAUCUGUCUGACAUGAUUAAGAACAGCUACAUCUGAUUACUGGGUCACCG
rnacentral:pre_miRNA from 13 species